UUUUUUUUUUGAAACAGAGCACCUCACUGGCCUGGACCUUGCCUAGUAGGCUGUACCUUUUAACCAGCAGGCCCCAGGAGUCCGACUCUCUCUGCCUCACUAGCGCUAGGAUAGCAAGCUCGUGCCACCAUGCCUGGCUUUUAAAUGUAGGUUCUGAGGAUCGAACUCAGGUCCUCAUGUUUAUAAGGCAAGCACUUUACCAACUGGCCCAUCCCCUCAGUCCAAGGGAUUUAUUUUCCCAGGGCCAGAGUCUGGAGACAAGGUGAAGCUUCCUAUAUCUUCAUUCAUUUGCCUUUUCUUCAGGUGGCCUGGUGUCAAGGUUCACAGAGUGGGGGCCUUUGACAAGCCAGAUCAGAAUCAUCUGAGUGUGCAAUAUAAAUUCUUUAUCCUUGCCCAAAGGUUCUCGGUCAGGCACUCUAGAGUUUGGGCCCAGCAAUUUGUGUUUGAAUAAAGCCUCUGAGACACUCUGAUCCUUGCUAAGUUGGAAAAUAGCUGUCUAGUUUCUUGAGGGCACUGGGAAAGAAAACUUUAGCAACGCUUGCCUCAUGACCUCUACCACAUUUAGCAUCUACUGGUGUAGUAGGAGGCAGGCUCUGGAUAGUGCCGGCAACAGCCUUGUUAGCUGGCAGGGACCUUGUUAGGAUCCAGCCUGCUUACUUAGCACAGCCAAGCCAAACCUCAGCUCUCCUCCUGGCAUACUGCCAACAGGACACCACAAACCACCCCUGCCAUGCAUAUGCUAAGGAGCCAGAGCUAGGGCUAUGCUAAGUGGGUUUUUUUUUUUUUUUUUUUUUUCCAGAACAACUGUGAGCUGCAAGGCUCCAGGGCACCUCUCAUCACAUUGAGAAAUGAGGGAGGCCAGUCUCUCUGGGCCCUUUCUAAGUAGAUGCACAUCUGGAUUGUGUGAGUCUGCCUGCACACACCCAAAGACAGCCCGUGGCCAGCAGAAUGUAUCACACCAAUGCCUCUGAAAAGCUUGUGGCUGGUCUGGCUUUUAUUACUGAUGUGCAGCCACCUCUGGGAUGAAACUCCGCAGCUGGAGAGAAUUUGAGACCAUCCAUCUAGAUUUUCCAGCUUCACCCGUUUGUGCGAGUCUUGCUCAGAGACCAUUGCUCCAGGAAGCAGCAGAAACAAA